rnacentral:rRNA from 1 species
AUUGAACGCUGGCGGCAGGCUUAACACAUUCAAGUCGAGCGGAGAGAGGUAGCUUGCUACUGAUCUUAGCGGCGGACGGGUGAGUAAUGCUUAGGAAUCUGCCUAUUAGUGGGGGACAACAUUUCGAAAGGAAUGCUAAUACCGCAUACGUCCUACGGGAGAAAGCAGGGGAUCUUCGGACCUUGCGCUAAUAGAUGAGCCUAAGUCGGAUUAGCUAGUUGGUGGGGUAAAGGCCUACCAGGGCGACGAUCUGUAGCGGGUCUGAGAGGAUGAUCCGCCACACUGGGACUGAGACACGGCCCAGACUCCUACGGGAGGCAGCAGUGGGGAAUAUUGGACAAUGGGCGCAAGCCUGAUCCAGCCAUGCCGCGUGUGUGAAGAAGGCCUUAUGGUUGUAAAGCACUUUAAGCGAGGAGGAGGCUACUUUAGUUAAUACCUAGAGAUAGUGGACGUUACUCGCAGAAUAAGCACCGGCUAACUCUGUG